GGAUUGGAGGGUUCUUUCUUGAAACCCUAAUUGAGGGUACAAGUAAGCUUCGCCGGAAAGGUAAACCAGCUCAAUCGGACGAGACGGUACGAUGUCGGAGAGAAGUUCCGAGGUAAGCAAACUCUCAAAUCGGAGGAAAAAAAAAAGUAAUAACAAAAAAAAGAAGAAAAUUGCGAAGCGACCAAGACAAGAUUGUGAGGGCAUUUAUAAAAGUUUUAUAACCCGACCCGAAUAAAGUUUGAGUCCGGGUCUAAUUUCUUAACCAGGAAAAAUCAAUUUCGUUGUUUGGUAUGGAGGUGGUUAAGCAGAAAUAGAGUCGGUUCUGAAGUAAUUUUUGUUGUUGUUUAAUCAGUGGUAA